rnacentral:sRNA from 1 species
CGUUAACGCAGGGAGGGUCAUCCAUGGGCCUUACACAUUCGCUGAAUGUCCUCAUGAUCAGUGCAGCGUUCGUAUUCGUGGCCACGAUGCUCUUCAUCUGAUGAGCGGCUGCUGAGAGUCCAAACCGAAUAGGGACUUAAAUUUCCGGAAAUCCAUUU